CGGGCCAUUGUGUAGUUACCGAUUCAGAUUACUUUGAUCGACAAGAUCCAUCGAUCAUGCGUUAGCUUCUAUUGAAACACCAUGAAGCCAAAGGAAAAAAAAAAAUUCAUGGAAACACUAACCUCAAUCCUGGAGGGUACUCAGGCCACUGGUUGGUCCACUCAAUGACACCCUCUUCACCGUCCUUGUGCGAGGCCGGGACGAGCGUCGUCUCUUGCACGGUGAAGUCGAAGACCUCCUUCCAGUCCCUCACGUUCUUGGUG